GACGAACGCUGGCGGCGUGCUUAACACAUGCAAGUCGAACGGAAAGGCCCUGCUUUUGUGGGGUGCUCGAGUGGCGAACGGGUGAGUAACACGUGAGUAACCUGCCCUUGACUUUGGGAUAACUUCAGGAAACUGGGGCUAAUACCGGAUAGGAGCUCCUGCUGCAUGGUGGGGGUUGGAAAGUUUCGGCGGUUGGGGAUGGACUCGCGGCUUAUCAGCUUGUUGGUGGGGUAGUGGCUUACCAAGGCUUUGACGGGUAGCCGGCCUGAGAGGGUGACCGGCCACAUUGGGACUGAGAUACGGCCCAGACUCCUACGGGAGGCAGCAGUGGGGAAUAUUGCACAAUGGGCGGAAGCCUGAUGCAGCAACGCCGCGUGCGGGAUGACGGCCUUCGGGUUGUAAACCGCUUUCGCCUGUGACGAAGCGUGAGUGACGGUAAUGGGUAAAGAAGCACCGGCUAACUACGUGCCAGCAGCCGCGGUGAUACGUAGGGUGCGAGCGUUGUCCGGAUUUAUUGGGCGUAAAGGGCUCGUAGGUGGUUGAUCGCGUCGGAAGUGUAAUCUUGGGGCUUAACCCUGAGCGUGCUUUCGAUACGGGUUGACUUGAGGAAGGUAGGGGAGAAUGGAAUUCCUGGUGGAGCGGUGGAAUGCGCAGAUAUCAGGAGGAACACCAGUGGCGAAGGCGGUUCUCUGGGCCUUUCCUGACGCUGAGGAGCGAAAGCGUGGGGAGCGAACAGGCUUAGAUACCCUGGUAGUCCACGCUGUAAACGGUGGGUACUAGGUGUGGGGUCCAUUCCACGGGUUCCGUGCCGUAGCUAACGCUUUAAGUACCCCGCCUGGGGAGUACGGCCGCAAGGCUAAAACUCAAAGGAAUUGACGGGGCCCCGCACAAGCGGCGGAGCAUGCGGAUUAAUUCGAUGCAACGCGUAGAACCUUACCUGGGUUUGACAUGGAUCGGGAGCGCUCAGAGAUGGGUGUGCCUCUUUUGGGGUCGGUUCACAGGUGGUGCAUGGCUGUCGUCAGCUCGUGUCGUGAGAUGUUGGGUUAAGUCCCGCAACGAGCGCAACCCUUGUUCACUGUUGCCAGCACGUUAUGGUGGGGACUCAGUGGAGACCGCCGGGGUCAACUCGGAGGAAGGUGGGGAUGACGUCAAGUCAUCAUACCCCUUAUGUCCAGGGCUUCACGCAUGCUACAAUGGCUGGUACAGAGAGUGGCGAGCCUGUGAGGGUGAGCGAAUCUCGGAAAGCCGGUCUCAGUUCGGAUUGGGGUCUGCAACUCGACCUCAUGAAGUCGGAGUCGCUAGUAAUCGCAGAUCAGCAACGCUGCGGUGAAUACGUUCCCGGGGCU
rnacentral:rRNA from 1 species